UAUAUAAUAUAAACAUGAAUAAUAAAUAUAAUAUAUAAUAUAAUGUCUAGAUCCAUAUAUGUCUAGACCCAUGUCAUGUUGAAAUCUAUUUUGCCCAAAAAAGCCCACAUCGACCAGGUCCAUACACACGUGAGGUACAAAUCAGCAUGGUACAGCCCACCGACUAACAUCAAUUUAGGUCCUAGUACAGCCGCCGCCUAGUCCAGCAGGGUACAGCCGCCGCCUGAAUCCAGCAUGGUACAGCCGUACAUGCUGACUCCAGCCUUUUACAGCCGCAACAGCCAAACACCGGAAACACAAGUAGGAGCUUGAAGCCAUCGACGACUGUUCUGGCGCUAUUACUGUGGCAAGG
rnacentral:lncRNA from 7 species